rnacentral:rRNA from 1 species
UGCAUGGUUGUCGUCAGCUCGUGCCGUGAGGUGUCGGGUUAAGUCCCAUAACGAGCGCAACCCUUAUCGUUAGUUGCCAGCUGGUAAAGCAGGGGACUCUAGCGGAAACUGCCACCGUAAGGUGAGAGGAAGGUGGGAUGACGUCAAAUCAGCACGGCCCUUAUGUCCAGGGCUACACACGUGUUACAAUGGCCGGCACAGAGGGCAGCUACCUGGUGACAGGAUGCUAAUCUCGAAAACCGGUCUCAGUUCGGAUCGAAGUCUGCAACUCGACUUCGUGAAGCUGGAUUCGCUAGUAAUCGCGCAUCAGCCAUGGCGCGGUGAAUACGUUCCCGGGCCUU